GAGGUUUUCAUUCGACGACUUGCUGUCGGGCGCGACAUAUCUCCGCGAUAAUUAGUAACGUCACACGUAAUUAUCUAUUCAUUCGCAUUUAAAUAAUACUAUUCGUAGUAUCAGUUUGUUUUUAUUGAAUUAAUUUGAUGUCGCGAACGUUGGUGAAGUUUGGUACAGUGAAUCUUUAUGAGUAAUACUUUAUGUAAAUGAAUGUUUUACUGUAGUUGUGAAGGUGCAGUGCUUAUCGCGGGUGAUAGUCGGUGUUAAUGCGCGGGUUGAGUGCGUCUCGUCGGCCAUUUUGCGGUUGCUGUCAGCGCGAUGUGUGGUCCCGUCCACUAGGCGGCGUGCGUGUCGCGUUGUCUCACGUGUGCCAGGGUACCCGCGUGCAACGCGACCGCCCCAACAUGUGGCUGGGGUCGCGUGGGCCCGGUGCGACGGCCGGCGGCGUCCAGCGACGUCGCUCGGCCUCUGGACUGGCCGCGCUACUGACGUGACUCGCCUCGACGACUCGCGACCAGACAAACGCGCAUAUCCAUAAUGGGGGACUUUAUUUUGAACUCUGGAUUAUGUGGUAAAUGACGAAUUAACGUAAAUAAAUGUUAAGACAACUAACAAUAUGACUUGAUGAUAUUAUUAUAGUUGUUUAUUAAUCUCCUAUCCUAUGGCCAUUCAUCAAACGACGUCGUGUUAAAAAUUCCCAUCGCGUCAUUCGUCGAACUUUUAAACAUUGCACGCAUUGACAACCUCUUUAGUUACAUAUAACAUCUUUAUAGCGGUAUAUUUGCAUGUAGUUUAAGUUAAGUUCAUAGUGAUAUGUCAAUCGAUCUUAGUUUUAGGCAUGGCUGGCAGAGUCGCGAGUAAGUUCACUUGUAAACUCAUCGCCAAUACUUUUCCGUUACUUUAGAAUGUUUUUUUGUUUUGAAUUCUUGUUCUGGGAGCAAGUUAAAUAUCAAGAUCUACGCGAUAAUAAGUUAGCAUUCCUUGUCAAACGUUUAGCAUUUAAGACUUAAUUGUAGUUUUACUGUUUAUUUUUUAAUUAAAAUGUAAUUUUCAUUCGCAACAGUCAGCAAAUCCAGUAUAUAAGAGCGAAACCUUUAUCUUUUGUUGUUGUUUUAAUUUAAGUUUAUAUUCUGAGAGUGUUUUUGUUACGUAUAAGUUUAAAACCUUACUUUUUCAUAUUAUUUUUAAAUACAUUUUUUUCUUAAAA